GACGAACGCUGGCGGCGUGCUUAACACAUGCAAGUCGAGCGGAAAGGCCCUUUCGGGGGUACUCGAGCGGCGAACGGGUGAGUAACACGUGAGUAAUCUGCCCUGGACUCUGGGAUAGCCACCGGAAACGGUGAUUAAUACCGGAUACAACCACUAUCCGCAUGGGUUGGUGGUGGAAAGUUUUUUCGGUCCAGGAUGUGCUCGCGGCCUAUCAGCUUGUUGGUGAGGUAAUGGCUCACCAAGGCUUUGACGGGUAGCCGGCCUGAGAGGGUGACCGGUCACACUGGGACUGAGACACGGCCCAGACUCCUACGGGAGGCAGCAGUGGGGAAUAUUGGACAAUGGGCGGAAGCCUGAUCCAGCAACGCCGCGUGAGGGAUGACGGCCUUCGGGUUGUAAACCUCUUUCAGUACCGACGAAGCGCAAGUGACGGUAGGUACAGAAGAAGGACCGGCCAACUACGUGCCAGCCGCCGCCGUAACAC
rnacentral:rRNA from 1 species